CUUAUCAACCCUUCACUUAGUCUUUCUUUUUAGAGCUCUUCUAGUAGGUGACGCUUCUUGAUGACAUAAAGAGAGAAAAUCAGUAUUGAGAGUUCAGCAGUAGAUUAUGGAGGGGAUUCAUUAAGCGAUCAGAUGCAUUUCUAUGGACGUUAGCAACCUUCUCACCAUCAACAAUGCCUGUCUUGGUCUUUGGUUCUAGGGGUUGCAAACAUUACUUAACAAUUCUUCAGCACAUUUUAAUAUCAUUGGUUGUGUGUAUGUGCAUGUUCCAAAUUUUUAUGUGUUGAUACCUUUCUACUGUUAGAAGUGGUAGGGGGAGGCAGGAGAAAGACUGUAAAUUAAAAUGCAGCAUGCUACAUUCUAGGUAAUGAUUCAAACCAAAUGAAAAGGAAUUAUUAGUGGAGAGAAUUCAGAGGGACUCACUGGUCAGAUGGCUAUUGAGUCUCCUAGUUUUCAACCUCUGGUUUAGUACUCUAGACAAGCAGGAUCCUCGCUGGAAGCUCCAGAGAAGAUCCAGACAUGUUGAACUGCAAGAUUCCACUCCUGACGCCAGAAUUUGUCAAGAGGACCGCAUUGUUGUUUCUCACUGAGGCAUAGGACUGACUGCGGGCCAUUGUUUCUCCAGCUCAAGUGGGCCUGUCUGGUUCGUGUUGGAAGAAUAGGGGCGACAUGCGUGAGUUCCCAAGUAUAAAGGAACUACCGGUUCUAGAAAGACACGGGAGUUUAGCCACUAAUGCAGAGUAAAUAAACAUUUUUCACCACCUCUUGCUCCCUGUGAUUUUUUUUUUUAAAGGUCAAGAGCUGCCAUUACAGUAUUUUAAAAGCUUCAAAUUAUGUUUAAAGCACGUAUCACUAAACUCACAGAAACCUUAUCAGAAUUUGGGAACCCACUGUGAUUGUUUGGUCCUUGAGUUUUAUCAUCACUGGAAGGCAGACUGUAAAAGGAAUGCAGAUGCCCUGUCGCUUCUAAUAUCCUGCAAUUUGCACAAAGUGAAUGUGGCUCAAGCCCUUCCACAUUUCCCUCAAAAUACUGCAAGUAUGGAGACUGGUCAGUUUCAAAUCUUCCUAAGGUCCAUGUUGCAGGUCACACAUUCUAGACAGAUAAGAGUAAGCCUUUGGGAACCUUUCAUGAUGAGCAUGUUCAAAAUGCAAAGAACGGGUCAUGUUCCUGGAAAAUCUCCAACUGUGUGUGCGAAAGAGAGAGUAAAAGGCAGAGGGAGAUUUCUUUUUUAAAUUAAAGAAUAAAAAGCUUACUUCAAGAAAGUGUAGAGUCACAGCAGAAAGACUUCCUCAGCAACUGAGGUUUACAGAUUUCAAAUUAGGAGCCCUUAGAUCACGGCUGCUAGGCUAAAAAUCAAUUCUAUAUUUUCCGAGUUAAUAC
ensembl:lncRNA